ensembl:lncRNA
GGGGAUAAAGACAGUAUGGUGUCUGUAUGGGGAUAAAGACAGUAUGGUGCCUGUAUGGGGAUAAAGACAGUAUGGUGCCUGUAUGGGGAUAAAGACAGUAUGGUGCCUGUAUGGGGAUAAAGACAGUAUGGUGCCUGUAUGGGGAUAAAGACAGUAUGGUGUCUGUAUGGGGAUAAAGACAGUAUGGUGCCUGUAUGGGGAUAAAGACAGUAUGGUGCCUGUAUGGGGAUAAAGACAGUAUGGUGCCUGUAUGGGGAUAAAGACAGUAUGAUGCCUGUAUGGGGAUAAAGACAGUAUGGUGCCUGUAUGGGGAUAAAGACAGUAUGGUGCCUGUAUGGGGAUAAAGACAGUAUGGUGUCUGUAUGGGGAUAAAGACAGUAUGGUGUCUGUAUGGGGAUAAAGACAGUAUGGUGUCUGUAUGGGGAUAAAGACAGUAUGGUGCCUGUAUGGGGAUAAAGACAGUAUGGUGUCUGUAUGGGGAUAAAGACAGUAUGGUGUCUGUAUGGGGAUAAAGACAGUAUGGUGUCUGUAUGGGGAUAAAGACAGUAUGGUGCCUGUAUGGGGAUAAAGACAGUAUGGUGUCUGUAUGGGGAUAAAGACAGUAUGGUGCCUGUAUGGGGAUAAAGACAGUAUGGUGCCUGUAUGGGGAUAAAGACAGUAUGGUGCCUGUAUGGGGAUAAAGACAGUAUGGUGUCUGUAUGGGGAUAAAGACAGUAUGGUGCCUGUAUGGGGAUAAAGACAGUAUGGUGCCUGUAUGGGGAUAAAGACAGUAUGGUGCCUGUAUGGGGAUAAAGACAGUAUGGUGCCUGUAUGGGGAUAAAGACAGUAUGGUGUCUGUAUGGGGAUAAAGACAGUAUGGUGUCUGUAUGGGGAUAAAGACAGUAUGGUGUCUGUAUGGGGAUAAAGACAGUAUGGUGCCUGUAUGGGGAUAAAGAGAUACAGGAUAAAGACAGUAUGGUGUCUGUAUGGGGAUAAAGACAGUAUGGUGCCUGUAUGGGGAUAAAGACAGUAUGGUGUCUGUAUGGGGGACACAGAGAUACAGGAUAAAGACAGUAUGGUGUCUGUAUGGGGACACAGAGAUACAGGAUGAAGACAGUAUGGUGUCUGUAUGGGGAUAAAGACAGUAUGGUGCCUGUAUGGGGAUAAAGACAGUAUGGUGCCUGUAUGGGGAUAAAGACAGUAUGGUGCCUGUAUGGGGAUAAAGACAGUAUGGUGCCUGUAUGGGGAUAAAGACAGUAUGGUGCCUGUAUGGGGAUAAAGACAGUAUGGUGCCUGUAUGGGGAUAAAGACAGUAUGGUGUCUGUAUGGGGAUAAAGACAGUAUGGUGUCUGUAUGGGGAUAAAGACAGUAUGGUGCCUGUAUGGGGAUAAAGACAGUAUGGUGCCUGUAUGGGGAUAAAGACAGUAUGGUGUCUGUAUGGGGAUAAAGACAGUAUGGUGUCUGUAUGGGGAUAAAGACAGUAUGGUGUCUGUAUGGGGAUAAAGACAGUAUGGUGUCUGUAUGGGGAUAAAGACAGUAUGGUGUCUGUAUGGGGAUAAAGACAGUAUGGUGUCUGUAUGGGGAUAAAGACAGUAUGGUGUCUGUAUGGGGAUAAAGACAGUAUGGUGCCUGUAUGGGGAUAAAGACAGUAUGGUGCCUGUAUGGGGAUAAAGACAGUAUGGUGCCUGUAUGGGGAUAAAGACAGUAUGGUGCCUGUAUGGGGAUAAAGACAGUAUGGUGCCUGUAUGGGGAUAAAGACAGUAUGGUGCCUGUAUGGGGAUAAAGACAGUAUGGUGCCUGUAUGGGGAUAAAGACAGUAUGGUGCCUGUAUGGGGAUAAAGACAGUAUGGUGCCUGUAUGGGGAUAAAGACAGUAUGGUGUCUGUAUGGGGAUAAAGACAGUAUGGUGUCUGUAUGGGGAUAAAGACAGUAUGGUGUCUGUAUGGGGAUAAAGACAGUAUGGUGUCCUGUAGGGGAUAAAGACAGUAUGGUGCCUGUAUGGGGAUAAAGACAGUAUGGUGCCUGUAUGGGAUAAAGACAGUAUGGUGCCUGUAUGGGGAUAAAGACAGUAUGGUGCCUGUAUGGGGAUAAAGACAGUAUGGUGCUGUAUGGGGAAACAGUAUGGUGCCUGUAUGGGGAUAAAGACAGUAUGGUGCCUGUAUGGGGAUAAAGACAGUAUGGUGUCUGUAUGGGGAUAAAGACAGUAUGGUGCCUGUAUGGGGAUAAGACAGUAUGGUGCCUGUAUGGGAUAAAGACAGUAUGGUGCCUGUAUGGGGAUAAAGACAGUAUGGUGCCUGUAUGGGGAUAAAGACAGUAUGGUGCCUGUAUGGGGAUAAAGACCAGUAUGGUGCCUGUAUGGGGAUAAGACAGUAUGGUGGCCUGUAAUGGGGAUAAAGACAGUAUGGUGCCUGUAUGGGGAUAAAGACAGUAUGGUGCCUGUAUGGGGAUAAAGACAGUAUGGUGCCUGUAUGGGGAUAAAGACAGUAUGGGUGCCUGUAUGGGGAUAAAGACAGUAUGGUGGUCUGUAUGGGGAUAAAGACAGUAUGGUGUCUGUAUGGGAUAAAGACCAGUAUGGUGCCUGUAUGGGGAUAAGACAGUAUGGUGCCUGUAUGGGGAUAAAGACAGUAUGGUGCCUGUUAUGGGGAUA